GACGAACGCUGGCGGCGUGCUUAACACAUGCAAGUCGAACGGAAAGGCCCUGCUUUUGUGGGGUGCUCGAGUGGCGAACGGGUGAGUAACACGUGAGUAACCUGCCCUUGACUUUGGGAUAACUUCAGGAAACUGGGGCUAAUACCGGAUAGGAGCUCCUGCUGCAUGGUGGGGGUUGGAAAGUUUCGGCGGUUGGGGCUGGACUCGCGGCUUAUCAGCUUGUUGGUGGGGUAGUGGCUUACCAAGGCUUUGACGGGUAGCCGGCCUGAGAGGGUGGCCGGCGACAUGGGGACUGAGAUACGGAGCAGACGCCUACGGGGGACAACAGUCGGAAGUAUUGCCCAGUGGGCGGGAGCCUGAGGCGGCAACGCCGCGUGCGUGAUGACGGCCUGCGGGUUGUAAACCGCUUUCGCCUGUGACGAAGCGGGAGUGACGGUAAUGGGUGAAGAAGCACCGGCUAACUACGUG
rnacentral:rRNA from 1 species